GAGCGGCAAGGAGCAGCAAUGUUCCCGAGAGCGGCGGACUGGUGAGUAACGCGUGGGUGACCUACCUGAGAGUUGGGGAUAGCCGGUAGAAAUAUCGGGUAAUACCGAAUGUGGUUGCGGGGCUGUGGCUCUGCAAAGAAAGGAGCUAAGGCUCCGCUCUGAGAUGGGCCCGCGUCCGAUUAGCUAGUUGGUGAGGUAACGGCUCACGAAGGCGAUGAUAGGUAGCCGGCCUGAGAGGGUGAACGGCCACAUUGGGACUGAGAUACGGCCCAAACUCCUACGGGAGGCAGCAGCUAAGAAUAUUCCGCAAUGGACGAAAGUCUGACGGAGCGACGCCGCGUGGAUGAAGGAGGCCGAAAGGUUGUAAAGUCCUUUUCUUGUUGAGGAAUAAGGAGCGGAGGGAAUGCCGGUCUGAUGACAGUAAACAAGGAAUAA
rnacentral:rRNA from 1 species